rnacentral:lncRNA from 1 species
GGGGUAUCUAGUUAAAAAAAAAUGUGUCCAGUAACUCGGCCAACAAACCAAGAUGGCCACCAUGGAUAAAAAUAGAACAUGGGGGUAAAAUGCAGUUUUUGGCUUAUAACUCAAAAACCAAAGCAUUAAGAGCAAAUCUGACAGGAAGUAAAAUUGUUGAUCAGGUCACGAUCUAUCUGCCCUGGAAUUUUCAGAUGAAUCGGAUAAUCGGUUGCUGCCCCUGAAUUGGUAAUUUUGAGGAAAUUUUGCUGUUUUUUUGUUAUUAUCUUGAAUAUUAUUAUAGAUAGAGAUAAACUGUAUACAGCAAUAAUGUACAGCAAAGUAAGAACUAAAAAUAAGUCAGUAUGACCAAAAUAGUCAAUUGACCCCUUAAGGAGUUAUUGCCCUUCAUAGUCAAUUUUUAACAAUUUUCUUAAAAUUUGAAGAUUUCAAUAACAUUUUCCACAGAAAGUACUGUUAUAGAUAGAGAUAAUUGUAAGCAGCAAGAAUGUUUAGUAAAGUAAGAUCUACAAACACAUCACCAUCACCAAAAAACAAUUUUGUCAUGAAUCCAUCUGUGUCUAUUGUUUAAUAUUCACAUAGACCAAGGUGAGCGACACAGGCUCUUUAGAGCCUCUAGUUAAAAUUA